AUGGAGAACACCAUCCUCCCUACAAUGGCGCUCGCCGCCCUCUUCCUCUUCCUCUUUCUCAAAGCCACUUUCCGCCACGGCCAGAAGUACAACCUCCCGCCUGGCCCGAAAGCUUGGCCGAUCAUCGGCAACUUCGACCUCAUCGGCGCGCUCCCACACCGCUCCAUCCACGAGCUCUCCAAGAAGUACGGCCCGCUCAUGCACCUUCGAUUCGGCUCCUUCCCUCUCAUUUUUGCCUCCGGCAUGUACACCACCUACAACUACGCUGACAUUACAUGGUCGCCCUACGGCGCCUACUGGUGCCAGGCGCGCCGCAUCUGCCUCACCAAGCUCUUCAGCCCACGCCGCCUCGCACUCAUGGCGCACAUUCGUGUGGACGACGUGCACGCCAUGGGACCACAUGUCGACACUGAGCUUGAACGUGAUCACGCGAAUGGUGAUGGGGAAGCGGUUGUUCGCCGACGGCUCGUCGGAGGGGCCGGUGCCGUCGACAGAGGUGUUCAGGUGGAUGAUGGCGACUGGAUCCCAUGGCUGGCCUGGAUGGACUUGCAGGGGUACGUGCGGCGGAUGAAGAAGGUGGGGAAGAUGUUUGACGCGCUCAUGGAGCACGUACUCGACGAGCACAGCGUAGGCGAGCACCGCCGUCGUGAGGGCGAGGCGGCGAGGGACAUGGUGGACGUGCCCGUGAGGACGCCGCCGUCGGCGGGUAUGACGUGCCCAAGGGAGUUCAGGCCAGAGAGGUUCAUGGGGAGCAAGAUCGACGUGAAAGGGCAAGACCUGGAGCUUCUUCCAUUCGGGUCUGGCCGGCGGAUGUGCCCCGGCUACAACCUCGGGCUGAAGGAGGUUCGCCUUAGCCUGGCGCACCUACUGCAUGGGUUCACCUGGACACUGCCUGUGGGGAUGCCCAAGGAGGAGCUGAGCAUGGAGGAGGUUUUUGGGCUAACCACCAGCCGCAAGUACCCGCUGAAGGUCGUCGCCGCUCCCAAGCUACCUGCUCAUCUCUAUCUUUGA
rnacentral:rRNA from 1 species